UGUUGUUAUUCUAGGAAGAAAAAGAGAAGGGUGUGUGUGAAUAUCGAUGGUUGUGCGUGUAUGGUGUGUACAGAAAGAGUGACGAUGGAAGGAGUAGUGUUGGUGUUUGUCUAUGGUGGGAGAAUUGUAAGGGGUGAGUGUGAGAGUGUGAUGAUGAAAGAAUGAGCCUCCCCCUUUUUCCCCUUUUAGAAUUUUCCUUUUAUAUUUUUUAUUUGAUUUUUCUUUUUCUUUAUUUAUUAUC
rnacentral:lncRNA from 1 species